rnacentral:rRNA from 1 species
CCUACGGGAGGCAGCAGUGGGGAAUAUUGCACAAUGGGGGAAACCCUGAUGCAGCGACGCCGCGUGAGUGAAGAAGUAUUUCGGUAUGUAAAGCUCUAUCAGCAGGGAAGAAGAAAGACGGUACCUGACUAAGAAGCCCCGGCUAACUACGUGCCAGCAGCCGCGGUAAUACGUAGGGGGCAAGCGUUAUCCGGAUUUACUGGGUGUAACGGGAGCGUAGACGGGUGUGCAAGUCUGAAGGGAAAGCCGAGGGCUCAAACCUGAGACUGCUUUGGAAACUGUGGAGCUAGAGUGCUGGAGAGGUAAGUGGAAUUCCUAGUGUAGCGGUGAAAUGCGUAGAUAUUAGGAGGAACACCAGUGGCGAAGGCGGCAUACUGGACAGUAACUGACGUUGAGGCACGAAAGCGUGGGGAGCAAACAGGAUUAGAUACCCGUGUAGUC